rnacentral:rRNA from 1 species
UGGCUCAGGACGAACGCUGGCGGCGUGCCUAAUACAUGCAAGUCGAACGGUCUUUCUAUGGAAGCUUGCUUCCACUGAGAAGAUAGUGGCGAACGGGUGAGUAACACGUGGGUAACCUGCCCAUAAGAGGGGGGAUAACAUCCGGAAACGGGUGCUAAUACCGCAUAGUUUUCUUGAUCGCAUGAUUGAGAAAGGAAAGACGGCCUUUGUGCUGUCGCUUAUGGAUGGACCCGCGGCGUAUUAGUUAGUUGGUGAGGUAACGGCUCACCAAGACGAUGAUACGUAGCCGACCUGAGAGGGUGAUCGGCCACAUUGGGACUGAGACACGGCCCAAACUCCUACGGGAGGCAGCAGUAGGGAAUCUUCCGCAAUGGACGAAAGUCUGACGGAGCAACGCCGCGUGAGUGAAGAAAAGGUUUUCGGAUCGUAAAACUCUGUUGUCAGAGAAGAACAAGUUGGAGAGUAACUGCUCCAGCCUUGACGGUAUCUGACCAGAAAGCCACGGCUAACUACGUGCCAGCCGCUGC